GGAAAGCUGCUGAGACCCAUCCUUCUCUAAGAGAAUCUGUGGAAGGGGGAAUUCAGGAAUAUGUUGUUGAGCACCUACAGUUUUCUGAGACAGACUGAGUCUUCAAACAUGACAAAAUUGCUGUAAUAUACAACUUGAGGAUCUUGAGCCACGCUCUGGAUCUAGGGUGGGCGUGUAUGUGUUGGCAGAGAAAGCUUGAAGGAAGCACAACAACAUCAUCACUAGGUUUAGACAUUUUGACCUUCAAUCUUAUCUUUAGGAUUUGCAGCUGGUUAACUAGUACAGCCUGCUUAUAAAUAAAUUUAUCAGCAGCAGCUUUCAGUGUUUUAUCUCCAGCCAUUGUUUCAUUUCCUGCAUGUUCUUCCUAAGAGUCCAUUUUGAGUCAGCUCUAUAUAGUCUGGAAGAAUAUCAUGCAGGUAAACCUAAGGACACAAAAUUUUAAUAAAAAUAAG